rnacentral:misc_RNA from 1 species
CCGAGUUAUACAAAAACUCCCAAACCAUUGUGAACCUACCUUUUACGUUGCCUCGGCAGGCCCGCGCCUACCCUGGAGCUACCCUGUAGCUACCCUGGAGGUGUGCCAUAGGGCCUGCCGGUGGUCUAUCAAACUCUUAUUAUUACGAAACAGUCUGACAAUACCAAACAAAAUACGUUA